UGGACGUUCAACCGACUGAGGCACCCUGGUGCCCCAUGAGCCAGACACAUUUCUGUCACCGUGGAUUCCUCCAACAUGAGUGAAAAAUUGGAAUGACAGUAUCAGAAGGUCUAGGGACAUCUGUCUGUCACAAAGGAAGCAUGGUAGCUGCCAACCCAUUGUUUAGAAGAAUCCAGGGAAUGGCUCCAGGUCAAGAGUGGAUGAGAAAGGCCAAGCAGUUACCUGUUUCUCCCAGGGAAACUUCAGAUGUAGCCCUCACAGAGAAUGGUCUAUACCCAUAAUAAUGGCCAAGACCCAAGACAGUGCUCCAUUCACAUUGCUGCAGGUGUCACCUAUGAAUCACAAGGACAGCCCCAAAUCCUGCAGCUCUCCCUUGCUCUGCAAAUGAAGGCGGCAGCAAUGAUCAGGACUGGAAUCUUCCCAAGGCUCACCUGUAUAUCCCCAAAUAGUCCAUGUGUAUCUACUACGUGUUGGGUCCCAUUCUGGGUACUGGAGACAGAGGAGUGAACAAGGAGCGGCUCACUGCUUGCACCAGAGCAAGGGGAGAAAAACAGACAGGUAACGGCCGGGACGUGUCUGAAGUCAUCACCCACCAACGAUCAGAAAUAAACACAAAACAUCGGAGCCAAGAAUUCGUUUUAGCAUCCGUGACAGCUGCGUUGAGAAACAGCAUUCGGAGUGUGAAUGGAUGUACCGACUGUAUGAUGCUGAGUCUUUUACUGGACUUCCCCUUGUUUCGUUAGGAGAGCCACGGAAGUCCCCUCCCUAAGUUUA